UACAGAGGGUGCGAGCGUUGUUCGGAAUUAUUGGGCGUAAAGGGCGCGUAGGCGGUGCGGUAAGUCACCUGUGAAAUCUCCUGGCUCAACUGGGAGCUUGCAGGCGAAACUGCCGUGCUGGAGUGUGGGAGAGGUGCGUGGAAUUCCUGGUGUAGCGGUGAAAUGCGUAGAUAUCAGGAGGAACACCUGUGGCGAAAGCUGCGCACUGGACCACAACUGACGCUGAGGCGCGAAAGCUAGGGGAGCAAACAGG
rnacentral:rRNA from 1 species